UACGGAGGAUCCAAGCGUUACCCGGAAUCAUUGGGUUUAAAGGGUCCGUAGGCGGUUUUGUAAGUCAGUGGUGAAAGCCCAUCGCUCAACGGUGGAACGGCCAUUGAUACUGCAAGACUUGAAUUAUUAGGAAGUAACUAGAAUAUGUAGUGUAGCGGUGAAAUGCUUAGAUAUUACAUGGAAUACCAAUUGCGAAGGCAGGUUACUACUAAUGGAUUGACGCUGAUGGACGAAAGCGUGGGGAGCGAACAGG
rnacentral:rRNA from 1 species